rnacentral:rRNA from 1 species
GACGAACGCUGGCGGCGUGCUUAACACAUGCAAGUCGAACGGAAAGGCCCUGCUUUUGUGGGGUGCUCGAGUGGCGAACGGGUGAGUAACACGUGAGUAACCUGCCCUUGACUUUGGGAUAACUUCAGGAAACUGGGGCUAAUACCGGAUAGGAGCUCCUGCUGCAUGGUGGGGGUUGGAAAGUUUCGGCGGUUGGGGAUGGACUGGCGGCUUAUCAGCUUGUUGGUGGGGUAGUGGCUUACCAAGGUUUUGACGGGUAGCCGGCCUGAGAGGGUGACCGGCCACAUUGGGACUGCGAUACGGCCCAGACUCCUACGGGAGGCAGCAGUGGGGAGUAUUGCACAAUGAGCGGAAGCCUGAUGCAGCAACGCCGCGUGCGGGAUGACGGCCUUCGGGUUGUAAACCGCUUUCGCCUGUGACGAGGCGUGAGUGACGGUAAUGGGUAAAGAAGCACCGGCUAACUACGUG